UACGUAGGUGGCAAGCGUUGUCCGGAAUUAUUGGGCGUAAAGCGCGCGCAGGCGGUUUCUUAAGUCUGAUGUGAAAUCUCGCGGCUCAACCGUGAGCGGUCAUUGGAAACUGGGAAACUUGAGUGCAGAAGAGAAGAGCGGAAUUCCACGUGUAGCGGUGAAAUGCGUAGAGAUGUGGAGGAACACCAGUGGCGAAGGCGGCUCUUUGGUCUGUAACUGACGCUGAGGCGCGAAAGCGUGGGGAGCGAACAGG
rnacentral:rRNA from 1 species